AGGCACAACCAAAACUCUGCCCUGUUUUGGGGUUUGUUCCAGACGGUACCCACUAUGUUGUUUAAUAAUGUAGUGUUCAGGCUGAGAUAGCCAUCCUACCCACACCUUAUCCCAUCUUAUUAUCUUUUCUUUUGUUCCAAUUUUUGUGAGAGUGUUGUAUUACUUGUUUGAAGACCAGCAACCAAAUCUGAUUGUAAAAAAGAGUGAAGAAACAGUCCAUGACAGAAUCGAUUUCAGGAGCAGGAAGCUAGGGUUUUGAAGUCCAAUUGUGUGGCCAUAUCUCCCAAGUCUAAAGCCUGAUCAGCAAACCCUUUUGGGGUUUUUUUUAUCACCUUGAAAGAUAGACUCGACUAGCACUGGGGUCCAUCUGAGGUCUGGAACUUCUUCUACAGGAAAGAAGAGAGACUGAAUGACACUUUUUUUUUAUCAUAUGGUUUCUCUAAGCACAUCCUGGUUGCUGGACCUUUUGGUCUUAGGGAAUACUUGAGAGGCACUACUACAGGGAUUGUACAAGGAAUUGCAGGGAGUGUAGAAACAGGGGUGUGGUUGCAGAUGUCUAGACAGAAUAUCGACUGGUAGACUGGCUGAUGCAAGGAUGUAGUAAGGGGUGGCCGUGGGAGACUUAAAUUUCUUUAUGACAUUUCUUGUUUAGUGAAAUUAUUUUUAAGUAUUUAAAAAAAGUCUCAGUGUGCAACUCGGGCAAGAGUUGAAUGUCUAUCCUUUGUCAUAACUGAUGAUGUUCACAAAAUGCUCUAUUUUGUUCAUCUAUGGAAAGAAAAAUAGAUGAAAUUGAAUGAGUGAAGGUAAAACAUAUAUGAAACUCCUUUUUUUUUUU